GGAGUUUUCUCCUGGACCCUGUAUGAAAGUCUUCAUUCACUGAGCAACCUGACCGGGGGGCGUGGGGCUGAUGUGACACCAAAGUAUCCUAACUGAACUCCACAAGGUGGGGAUCCGUUCCUCUCAGAGGCCCUGUUCCUACAGACACACUGUGAAGGUGUCUUGAGCACAGGUCAUCACCCUCUUUUGGAUCUUCGAGAGAACCUGGCCACUGUAAUGCACCUGAGAGGUUGAAAGCCCUGUCUUUAACAGGACGGUGAGUCAGGGCACAGCAGUGUAAGCCCGUCAUUGGGGAACAUGCCAAAGAAUAUCCAGAAGAGAUCCCUAAAGCAGAAUAUUUCAAGAGGCAACAAAAAGGAGUCAUUAUCCCAGAGUAGGAUCAUCAUCCUCUUCAAUUCAGGAAACUAACUCACGGAGAGUGUGUCUCCACCUGGUGCCAUCAACCCAUGGAGGGAACUGCCAGUUCCUGUGAUGGCCAGUGGAGGGAGCGACCCCACUGCUGCUUCUACUUGCUACAGAUUCAACUGUGACGACUGACUUCCUUCACUACAACUCCUCUGAGCAGAACACACCUAAAUAUGAAAAGAAGUGUGUGCCUGUGAUAUAAGGAAUCAGGAGGCACGCCAAAGCACAGGAAGUGAUUUUAGUGGCUAUAAGACGGCACUGGAGACGACCUAGCUGCCAUGGUGGUCUGGAGACAACUGGGAAUGAAAGUCUGUCUGGCUCCACCUGUGUCCAGCACGUGGCAGUCAUCUGCUUGCAGGGGACAGUCCCCAUCAUCCCUAACCAAUCCAGCCGCAGUAGGAGGAGACAUAGCAUCUGGUCCCUGCUUAGAACUAAUUCCUCAAUGAAUGAAGGACAGGGACUCAAGGUAAAUUCUCAGUCAAUAAAGCGUAGCUCUUCAUGGACCAGUUACUUUUGUGUUAAUAAUGACACAGGAGAAUGGAGUAAGCAGGACAUCUGUAAAAUCAGAUUCUCUUCCCUUUGGGGACGGGGAUAGGAGUGC
ensembl:lncRNA